UGCUCUCCCAUCAACUCCUGUACUCCACCGGUUUGAGAAGAGUAGGGGGAGUCAAUGGGAGAGCAUCUCCCGUUGACAUCACGUAGUGUGGAUCUCGCAUUUCUGGCAAGAAGGAAUUGAGGGAGGGGGGAGCGGGCAGCACCCCUUAUGCCAGCACAUACAUGCACCACUUCACAGGGUGCCAGAGGCGGUCCCCUAUGGUUACCACUGAGGGAAAAACCUUGCGGCACCGGUGCAUGUGGCAAGCACACACACCUACAAUGGAAUGGGCAUGAAUGUCACAUCUCAAAGAACAACAGUCACAAAAGAAGUCUUAAGAGCAACACUCCGAUGCAGAAACUACAGAACCUGAACCAUUAGAAAAGAGACUCAACCUUCUGUUGGUGGCCUCUGACUCAGAUGAUGAAAAUGAACAUGUCUGUCUGCACUGCUUUGGAUCAUCAUUGAGCAGAACCUGUCAUCAGCAUGGAGACCCGUCCUCUGGAAUGGUCAUUGAAGCAUGAAGGGUCAUAUGAAUCUUCAGGGCAUUUGGCAUGUAAAUAUUUUGUGAUGCUGGCUCCAACAGUGCCAUGUGAACAUCUGUUCUCAUUUUCAGGUAACAUCAUAAACAAGAAAUGGGCAGCAGUAUCUCCUGCAAAUGUUUGUCUGAGUGAUUUGCUGAACAAGAAGUAGGACUGAUUGGACUUGUAGGCUCAAGUUUUACAUUUUAUUUUUGAAUGCAGGUUUUUUAUAUAAUUCUACAUUUGUAAAUUCAAUUUUCAUGAUAGAGAUUGCACUACAGUACUUGCAAUGGGGGAACUGAGAAAUACUAUUUCUUUUUUUUACAGUGCAGAUAUUUGUAAUAAAAAAUAUAGUUAGCAAUGUA